rnacentral:piRNA from 1 species
UCCAUGAGCCACACUGAUGCUGUCAGCAA